AACGCACGAGACCUGCGGACCUGCGGAGGGAUCAUUAGUGAACGCCCUCACGGGCUUAUAACUAUUCCAAACCUCUGUGAACCGUGCCCUUCGGGGCUAUUUUACAAACAUGGUGUAAUGAACGUCAUAUAUCAUAACAAAACAAAACUUUUAGCAACGGAUCUCU
rnacentral:misc_RNA from 1 species